CUCGUAGGUGGCCAACUAAGUCAGACGUGAAAUCCCUCGGCUUAACCGGGGAACUGCGUCUGAUACUGGAUGGCUUGAGUUCGGGAGAGGGAUGCGGAAUUCCAGGUGUAGCGGUGAAAUGCGUAGAUGUCUGGAGGAACACCGGUGGCGAAGGCGGCAUCCUGGACCGACACUGACACUGAGGAGCGAAAGCCAGGGAGCAAACG
rnacentral:rRNA from 1 species